CCAUUCUGAUUUAUUCGUGACGGUUCAGCACAUUCGUGAAGGUCGCCAGGCCUCCUUCAGGAACGGCUCGCACCCAGCCUUCAGGAACGUGGGUGCGUAAAAUACUGCCUUUGUUUUGGCUUGGGAGGGGACGAAGAGUCAAAAUCCCUAAACAGUUGUCCCCAUCUCCCUAGUUGCAUCCCGCCGCCUCCUCCGCGUCCGGCGCCGCCGCACCCCAUCUUGUGCUUGACCCCAAUCCCGCCGCUGCCGCCCCACGCCUCCAGCGCCGUCUCCAUCCCCAUGGAGGGCCGCUCCCUUGCCGUCCAGCCACUCCUACGACGCCUCCCUCUCGUCGAGGGGCUCCUCCCUCGCCGUCCAGCGCCGCCCCCUCGCCGUCCAACGGCUCCAGUGCCGCCUCCAUCCCGAUCGACGGGCGUCUCCCUCGCCGUCCAGCCACCCCAGCGCCGCCUCUCUCCCCGUUGACUGGGUCCUCCCUCGCCGUCCAGGUCUGCUUCCCUCGCCGUCUAGAUCUGAUUCCCACGCCGGCCAGCCGCCUCACCCUUCUGUCUCCCUCCCAGUCCAGCUCCUCCCACUACCGAGUCAAGUCUUGGCGAACUACAACCGACCUGAGGAGAGGAAGACCCAAAAAAAGAAAUCUGAGAGAAACAUAAAUUGGAAACUAGAGGAGUUCUGGGCAACUUUAUUAGUCUGAAUCCCUAGCUGAGAGUUCAGCAGUAGCCGCAAUGGGUCCGAGGCUAGCAUGUCAACUACCACGGCAAGGAAGGAGGCAACUUUCCCGCUACAUUCAUCCUCUGCAGUUUGAAACUCUGAAUGUAAUACACAUGCAACAAGCCUUAUUACCAAGAAACACGUGGAAUGUGAGGCGGCGGCGAAGCAUUAGCUAGCGCGGGUGCGUCACCUCUGUGGUAUUGUGGGCAAUCACGGUUUUGGCAAGCUCACUGGAAUCAAGUGAGGGCAGUGAGAUAACGACGAAUGUGGCAGCGAGAAAUGAUGGUUCUCCUGAUCUUCCUUUCUGUGGUAUCUUCUAAGGCAUCCCUGAUAUGUCUCUUUUUGGUUCUUAAAAUUUUCUUGCUAUGAAUAGUUCAUCUCCUAAAUAUAUCUUAAUUGUGUUUGUCUCUAGGAGCGCGACAUCGUAACCCAGACAAGUUCUUUCCAGAUUUAGAUAUAGCUCAACAUUAAAAUCGCAACUUCGUGAGAUUCUAAACCUGAAGGGAGAGCACUACGUAGCGUUCCUUUUUGAUAGUUCUCUUUGUCAUAUCUCAUUUGAUAGCUACAUCUAUGCCGGUGCUAAAUGCUUUUUACUUGGUUGCACUGCUGAAAUUGAGCUGAAUUACACUUCUACAACUUUGUAGCUAUAUGUGAGCCUCCCACUAAUUUUUUGACAGUUGCUUCGUUAGGUACACUCAUCAUUCAUGGUUUUUUAUUACCGUUUCUUAGCAUACAUGAUAUGCUUACCAACAGGUUCGUGGUACUACUGUCUUCGAACAUUUCAAAGCUUAAGACAUGGCAAACUGAUGAGUUGGAAAACUUUAUGAUGCUAUCACCAUAAUAGGUCCAUGUACUAAAACCCAGUGUAUAUAUAAUAGGUAUUUCCCGCUGACAAGUUAUUUUCUUUGUGAUUAUUAGGUUCCAAACCUGCUGUUUGAUGUUGCUGGUAUUAUGUUUGGUCAAUGGUAUACCUUCUGAGAGUUCUUCUGUGAAACUCUUUGAUUGGGAAGACCAGCAUCAAAGACUCGUAUUCAGGUCUGUUCUAUACAUAUUUUAUCAACUAAUCCUUAUUUUAGUUGUUUUCUAAGGUACUCUGGUCAUAGACUAUUGUAGUACAAGGUUCAGAGGUCCAACUUGUUUAAUUUCAUAUGCACACUUGAUACUGUUA